rnacentral:rRNA from 1 species
CCAGACUCCUACGGGAGGCAGCAGUGGGGGAUAUUGCACAAUGGGGGAAACCCUGAUGCAGCGACGCCGCGUGAGUGAAGAAGUAUUUCGGUAUGUAAAGCUCUAUCAGCAGGGAAGAAGAUGACAGUACCUGAGUAAGAAGCCCCGGCUAACUACGUGCCAGCAGCCGCGGUAAUACGUAGGGGGCAAGCGUUAUCCGGAAUUACUGGGUGUAAAGGGUGAGUAGGCGGCAUGGUAAGCCAGAUGUGAAAGCCCGGGGCUCAACCCCGGGACUGCAUUUGGAACUGUGUGGCUGGAGUGUCGGAGAGGCAGGCGGAAUUCCUAGUGUAGCGGUGAAAUGCGUAGAUAUUAGGAGGAACACCAGUGGCGAAGGCGACUUUCUGGACAGUAACUGACGUUGAGGCACGAAAGUGUGGGGAGCAAACAGGAUUAGAUACCCUUGUA